rnacentral:tRNA from 1 species
GGGUAUAACUCAGUUGGUAGAAUGCUUGUUUUCCAUGCACAAGGCCCUGGGUUCAAUCCCCAGCACCACA